GGUGAAGAACGCAGCGAAAUGCGAUAAGUAAUGCGAAUUGCAGAAUUCAGUGAGUCAUCGAAUCUUUGAACGCACAUUGCGCCCUGUGGUAUUCCGCAGGGCAUGCCUGUUCGAGCGUCAUUUCAACCCUCAAGCCCCGCUUGGUGUUGGGCCCCGCCCGCUGUGGCCGGCCCUAAAGACAGUGGCGGCGCCGCCUGGCCCUCAGCGUAGUACAUCUCUCGCUCCAGGGUCCGGUGGCCGCCUGCCAGAACCCCCCAACUCUGUGGUUGACCUCGGAUCAGGUAGGAAUACCCGCUGAACUUAAGCAUAUCAAUAAGCGGAGGA
rnacentral:misc_RNA from 1 species